rnacentral:lncRNA from 1 species
ACACCUGGAACCUCGCGGCCUUUUUUUUAGGAAGGGAGGGAGACAGAAUAGCAAUUGUGCCCUUGGAAGCACUCCGGAAAUCACGAGAAUCUGUUAAAGCUACCUAAAAUCUUCUCUCCCUAGGUGGAGAAGGGAAAGCCGCCAGCUGGUAUUUUGGAAUUAACUAACCCGGAAGGAAAUGCCAUCUCUGCUGCAGCCUGCGAGGACUGGGGAGGUCUCCAGACGUCUUGAGCGAGUCAGGUCCUCAUGAUGGGCUUUCCUGUGCUCGCCUGGAAACCAGGACGCUCUUACCUGCCCGGGGCCCGGACUGCAGACCAGGACUCAAGACAAGAGCCUGCCCUUUUCCCUGCGGGGAAGGAGGUCCCAGAUCAUCAGAGAGAGUCCCUCGAGCUGAAGGAGCUCCCAGAUUGCACACAGAGGCUGGACAGACGCUGGCUGGAGAGCCACAUGCAGCGGGACACAGAGACAGAGGCCAGAGGCCAGCCGGCAUCGUGAUGGGAUAAUUCUCACGUCUGCACGUGAUGAAAUACCUUGUGAGCUGCUGGAUGGAGGUGGUGACACAAGGAAGUGUAGAAGGACCUCAAGCCCUAAACCCUUCUCUCCUUCCCC